rnacentral:rRNA from 1 species
GAUGAACGCUAGCUACAGGCUUAACACAUGCAAGUCGAGGGGUAACGAGAGGAAAGCUUGCUUUCCUUGUCGACGACCGGCGCACGGGUGAGUAACGCGUAUCCAACCUGCCCCCAACUAGGGAAUAACCUUGCGAAAGUAAGACUAAUACCCUAUAAUUUCCUCAGAUGACAUCUGACGAGGAAUAAAGAUUUAUCGGUUGUGGAUGGGGAUGCGUCUGAUUAGCUUGUUGGCGGAGUAACGGCCCACCAAGGCAACGAUCAGUAGGGGUUCGGAGAGGAAGGUCCCCCACAUUGGAACUGGGACACGUUCCAAACUCCUACGGGAGGCAGCAGUGAGGAAUAUUGGUCAAUGGGCGGAAGCCUGGACCAGCCAAGUAGCGUGCAGGAUGACGGCCCUAUGGGUUGUAACCUGCUUUUAUACAGGAAUAAAGUUAGCCACGUGUGGUUAUUUGUAGGUACUGUAUGAAUAAGGACCGGCUAAUUCCGUGCCAGCCGCCGCGGUAA